rnacentral:lncRNA from 13 species
UUGACCAUAGGGAAAAGAGCUAGUGUAUAAAUAUCGAAAUGCAGAAUUAUUUGAAUUGAGCUUCAACUCUUACAAAUUCCAUCCCUCUGCUGGUGCUGUGCCAGCUCAACUUUUCUAGGUGAUACAUUAUGUCACAAAACACACUUUGUCACAAUACCAAUAAGUUACUCACCCCACUUAUAUAUUUAGCCUAACCCCCAAUAUUUGCUCGUCACAUGGCAUGAUAUGUUGUUAACAAUGAUUUUCAGUCAGUUUUAUGAAACGUUGUGCAGCGAUUACAUUUGAAACAUAAAAGCAACCCCCAUCUUUUCUCUCCCUCUCUCUCUCUCUCUCUCUCUCUCUCUCUCUCUCUCUCUCUCUCGUCCGUGCUUUCAUUUUCUUCCAUCCAUUCCCUUGAACGUGAGCCCAACCCCUCCCACUAUGCAUAUACAUGAUGUGUGUGCUUUACCAUGGACAGGUAUAUCUGUAAAUCACAUCAAACAUCAAGGUAGAGGGAAGCAAGACGGUAAUGGACAAUACGCCAAGACAACGGAGCUGUUAGACAAACAGACAGACAGUCAAACAGAAAGACAGACAGACAGAAGACAACUGGUGGCUGGCUAUAUGAGGACAAACUUUGGCAGACAAAGGAUGCUUCCAUUACUGGUUAUAGCUUUGCUGGGGUUCCCCACGGCAACAGCCUCUGCAAUGCCUUGCACCCACACCUCUCUCUCCGAGACCCUUCCGUCCUCAGCUCACAGUGUCAGACCCUCAGAUGUGGCUGUGAUCUCGGCCAUUGGACUGCCCCACACACAAAGGUAA